rnacentral:rRNA from 1 species
AGGAUGAACGCUGGCGGUCUGCUUAACACAUGCAAGUCGAACGGAGUAGCAAUACUUAGUGGCGGACGGGUGAGUAACGCGUGAGAAUCUACCUUCAGGACGGAGACAACAGUUGGAAACGACUGCUAACCCCCGAUGUACCGAAAGGGCAAAUAUUUAUAGCCUGAAGAAGAGCUCGCGUCCGAUUAGCUAGUUGGUGGGGUAAAGGCCCACCAAGGCGACGAUCGGUAGCUGGUCUGAGAGGACGACCAGCCACACUGGAACUGAGACACGGUCCAGACUCCUACGGGAGGCAGCAGUGGGGAAUAUUGGACAAUGGGGGCAACCCUGAUCCAGCCAUGCCGCGUGUGUGAAGAAGGCCUUCGGGUUGUAAGCACUUUGUUGGGAAGAAAGCUGCCGGUUAAUACCUGGUAGUCAUGACGGUACCCAAGAAUAAGCACCGGCUAACUUCGUGCCAGCAGCCGC